rnacentral:snoRNA from 1 species
AAGACUAUACUUUCAGGGAUCAUUUCUAUAGUUUCUGACUUGAGAAAUGUGUUUCUAGAGUGUGUGGUCUCGCCAACCACGAUGAUGAGUUGUGAUAUUCCUUGUGAGCAUGAAGCUGAUAGAGAAUAAUGAUUUGUUUCAUAUAUUGUCUGUCAUUGAUGAUUGUUCAUUGCUUCCUGGAGGAGCAGUGAAAGAGGGAAUAUGUUCAGAGUGGU